CCCCUGAUGGUCUAGUUGGAUAUGACGUUCGGCUGUAAUGGAGAUUGUAACCGAAAGGUCGCUGGCUCGAUUCCGGCUCGGGGGA
rnacentral:tRNA from 2 species